GAGAGGUGGCGGAGUGGUCGAACGCGCUAGUUUGCUAAACUGGUUUAGGCGUAAAGUCUAACGAGGGUUCGAAUCCCUCCCUCUCC
rnacentral:tRNA from 1 species